GCGAGCGACUCUGGAGAGACCGGAACCAACCGGCGCCGAAGGGGCAUGGCACGCGGCAGCGCGGGCCAAAACUCUCAGGCAAAAGGACAGAGGGGCGCCC
rnacentral:ncRNA from 2 species